UCAUUAAUUUCAAAGUGUGUCCUCUCUCAGAAUCCGUCUGAGAUGCUCAGCUUCCACUGGAUCCAACAGAAAUCAUUCACAAGGUCGCAUCAUUGCAAAAAAAAGACAUUCAUCUCUU